UACGAAAGGGGGGCUAGCGUUGUUCGGAAUCACUGGGCUUAAAGGGCGCGUAGGCGGGCAAGCAAGUCGAAGGUGAAAAUCCCACGGCUCAACCGUGGAAGUGCCCCCCGAUACUGCUUGUCUUGAGGGAGAUAGGGGCGUGCGGAACUUCCGGUGGAGCGGUGAAAUGCGUAGAUAUCGGAAGGAACACCGGUGGCGAAAGCGGCGCGCUGGAUCUCUUCUGACGCUGAGGCGCGAAGCCAGGGGAGCAAACGGG
rnacentral:rRNA from 1 species